GUCCACGCCGUAAACGAUGGGCGCUAGGUGUGGGAGGUGUCGACUCCUUCCGUGCCGCAGCUAACGCAUUAAGCGCCCCGCCUGGGGAGUACGGCCGCAAGGCUAAAACUCAAAGGAAUUGACGGGGGCCCCGCACAAGCAGCGGAGCAUGUGGUUUAAUUGGAUGCAACGCCAAGAACCUUACCAAGGCUUGACAUGGUCGAGAAAGCCGGAGAAAUUCGGUCCUCCUUCGGGACUCGAUCACAGGUGGUGCAUGGCUGUCGU
rnacentral:rRNA from 1 species